rnacentral:rRNA from 1 species
AGAGUUUGAUCCUGGCUCAGAAUCAACGCUGGCGGCGCGCUUAACACAUGCAAGUCGCACGAGAAAGUGGAGCAAUCCAUGAGUAAAGUGGCGCACGGGUGAGUAACACGUGGAUCAUCUACCUUUUAGUGGGGAAUACCCCUGGGAAACCGGGGAUAAUACCGCAUAAUCUCGCGAGAGGAAAGCCGAAAGGCGCUGAAAGAGGAGUCCGCGGCUGAUUAGCUAGUUGGUGAGGUAAUGGCUCACCAAGGCGAAGAUCGGUAGCCGGCCUGAGAGGGCACACGGCCACACUGGCACUGAAACACGGGCCAGACUCCUACGGGAGGCAGCAGUGGGGAAUCUUGCACAAUGGAGGAAACUCUGAUGCAGCGACGCCGCGUGAGCGAUGAAGCCCUUCGGGGUGUAAAGCUCUUUCGACGGGAACGAUAAUGACGGUACCCGAAGAAGAAGCUGCGGCUAACUACGUGCCAGCAGCCGCGGUAAUACGUAGGCAGCAAGCGUUGUUCGGAAUUACUGGGCGUAAAGAGUGUGUAGGCGGUGUUCCAAGUCUGGUGUGAAAUCUCCCGGCUCAACUGGGAGGGUGCGCCGGAAACUGGAAUGCUCGAGUGUGGGAGAGGUAAGCGGAAUUCCUGGUGUAGCGGUGAAAUGCGUAGAUAUCAGGAGGAACACCUGUGGUGUAGACAGCUUACUGGACCACGACUGACGCUGAGACACGAAAGCGUGGGUAGCAAACAGGAUUAGAUACCCCCGUAGUCC